UACGUAGGGUGCGAGCGUUAAUCGGAAUUACUGGGCGUAAAGCGUGCGCAGGCGGUUUUGUAAGCCAGAUGUGAAAGCCCCGGGCUUAACCUGGGAAUGGCAUUUGGGACUGCAAGGCUGGAGUUUGGCAGAGGAGACUGGAAUUCCUGGUGUAGCAGUGAAAUGCGUAGAUAUCAGGAGGAAUACCGAUGGCGAAGGCAGGUCUCUGGGCUAUAACUGACGCUCAUGCACGAAAGCGUGGGGAGCAAACAGGAUUAG
rnacentral:rRNA from 1 species